CACACACACACUCACACUCACCAACAGCUCACUACUGCCCCAGGACUACGGAUUUAUACAGCUCCCCAAGUUUCUGGACGUGCAGCCUGCUGACGGCUUCGGAACGUUGCUGCCUCAGGAGACGAUUCAACUGGACGUGAUAUUCAGCCCUCACACACCCGGGGAACACACACACACACUUACACUCAAGACACACAACAACAGGGAGUUUGGUGUGUGUGUGCGUGGCAUGGGCGUGAAGACGGUGUUGGAGCUCUCACACACUCUCGUGGAGUUCCGCUCGACGGCGCUGGGAGACGAGUCCAGCGCCUGCCUCUACCUGGCCAACACACACACCAGCAUGGACCCCUACACACACACACACACACUCCCGCGCGUCGGGAACGGCCCCCCGCCACCCAUCGGACCCCGAGACUUCUGCUUUUGCCCCCCCCAACACACACACGCACACACACACACACACACCUCAGUAUCACCCCCACCACCGGACGCCUGCAGCCUGGAGAGAGGUGCUUGGUUCAGGUGCGUUUUAGCCCCUCCCUCCCUGAUUAUGUCAUCGCAGCCGAGGCCGAUCGUCUCCUAGCAACCAAACAGCAGCAGCUGAUGCAGCAGGCAGCACAGCAACAAGCAGAAGCACCAACACAGCCUGUUAAGAAGGAGGCGGCCUCUGAUAAAAAGGGGGCGGGACGUAAUAAAGCAUCAGCCAAUCGGAACGCAGGAAAGAGGAACAGCAAGACAACAGCCCUCAGCCCCAAAGAAGACAGCCCACCGAGCAUACACACACAGCUGACCCGUGAUGACAUGAUUGGAGCCGCUGUGGAAUCUCUGCUGCGUUCCUUUAAAGACACACACACACGCUACGUGGUGCCAUGCUACAUAUCAGACAGUCCAGAGAGCGUGCUGUAUCUGGAGGUGCGAUGUCCCGUCAUGAGGCCCCCCCUCGUCAUCACCGACCCCCCCAGCACACCCAACACCCUGCACUACAGCCAAGUAC